rnacentral:lncRNA from 1 species
AGAUAGUGAAAAAAUUGAAUCCCUAUUCUACAGAAUAACCUAAUAACACUGCAGUGUAGGGAUAAAAAUAAAAAAAUUGUUGUAAAUACUCUUAGACUACAUGAUUCCGCGUAAAUAGAUUGAAUUGUUCAACAUAAAAUUGGUACAACACACCUCUCACCUAUAUAUUCCCCUGAUAAUUAUUCCGAUAUGACUAAAAUCUCUUUGGUUUCCACUAGUAUAAUUACAUGCGUUCGUACUAAACGAACUCAAAUCUUGAGCUUUCAGUUUAUUUUGGAUUAAUA